rnacentral:rRNA from 1 species
UUACGGGCGGCACCAGUGAGGAAUAUUGCACAAUGGGGGGAACCCUGAUGCAGCAACGCCGCGUGGAGGAUGACGCAUUUCGGUGUGUAAACUCCUUUUAUAUGUCAAGAAAAUGACGGUAGCAUAUGAAUAAGCACCGGCUAACUCCGUGCCAGCAGCCGCGGUAAUACGGAGGGUGCAAGCGUUACUCGGAAUCACUGGGCGUAAAGGACGCGUAGGCGGGUUGGAAAGUCAGGUGUGAAAUCCUACAGCUUAACUGUAGAACUGCACUUGAAACUUCUAAUCUAGAGUAUGGGAGGGGGAGAUGGAAUUAGUGGUGUAGGGGUAAAAUCCGUAGAUAUCACUAGGAAUACCUAAAGCGAAGGCGAUCUCCUGGAACAUUACUGACGCUAAGGCGUGAAAGCGUGGGGAGCAGACAGGAUUAGAUACCCGGGUAGUC